rnacentral:rRNA from 1 species
UACGUAGGGUGCAAGCGUUUGUCCGGAAUUAUUGGGCGUAAAGAGCUCGUAGGCGGUUCGUCACGUCGGCUGUGAAAACCUGAGGCUCAACCUCAGGCCUGCAGUCGAUACGGGCGGACUUGAGUACUGCAGGGGAGACUGGAAUUCCUGGUGUAGCGGUGAAAUGCGCAGAUAUCAGGAGGAACACCGGUGGCGAAGGCGGGUCUCUGGGCAGUAACUGACGCUGGAGGAGCGGAAAAGCGUGGGGAGCGAACAGG